AUACGGAGGAUCCGAGCGUUAUCCGGAUUUAUUGGGUUUAAAGGGUGCGCAGGCGGCCAUUUAAGUCAGCGGUUAAAUCGUGGGGCUCAACCCCAUUCUGCCGUUGAUACUGGGUGGCUUGAUUGCGGUCGAGGUUGGCGGAAUUUGUUGUGUAGCGGUGAAAUGCAUAGAUAUGACGAAGAACACCGAUUGCGUAGGCAGCUGACCAGACCGCAAAUGACGCUCAUGCACGAAAGUGCGGGGAUCGAACAGGAUUAGAUACCCUGGUAGUCCGCACAGUAAACGAUGAAUACUUGUUUUCGGCGAUAUAAUGUCGGAGGCAAAGCGAAAGCGAUAAGUAUUCCACCUGGGGAGUACGCCGGCAGCGGUGAAACUCAAAUGAAUUGACGGGG
rnacentral:rRNA from 1 species